UAGAUAGUAGAGGAAGGGGAUUGUGAACGAGAUCACGUGCGCUAUAGAUCAUACAUGAGAGCUGAGGUCUAUCCGCGUUAGACCGCGAAUUGACUAAUUUUGAGCGGGCUAAAGACUUUUCAGAGUUUUACUCGGUUCUAAAGGUGUGAUUGUAAACAAUGGGCAUGGGAAGUCAGAAAUUGCGUUUUUUUCAGCAAAAGAAAAGCAAGAAGCAGCAGACAUCCCCCGUCUGCUCUCAUCAGCCUUUACCUGAGUCGACCAGCAACUCUUGAAUCUCUCCACUUCUUGGUUGCCAAGUCAGUGUUGAACUAAUUGCCGUCAAGAACGUGCUCACCAUUGUCAAGCUGCCAAGAGUUGAUGUCAUCGUCACCUCGUGUGUUCAGUGCCAGCUCAUUUGGAAUUUGUCAGUACGUUCUGAAUAUACCCUUACACCCCCUCUCUCCUCAUCACUCCAGUUCUUUCAACCUAAGUUACCAGCGUGCUGUGCUAUUUUGAUUGAGAUACAUCGAUUCCCUGAACUUUUGUGAUGAAAAUCCUGGCCUUAAAUGUUUAAUUAGAUUUGUGAAAGCAUUACUCUUCUACACUUAUUAUAUAGUUGAUCAGGUAAGUUCUGUCAAAAAAUUGUUCACGAACCGUUACCCAAACGCAGAAGACCGGACUCUGACAACACAUUCUGACUCAUAUCGUUCAUAAUGUACGUGUAUCUUUACAAUGUCAUGGCUUGUCUGCAGUUCAUAAUAAUGUUAUAUAGAUGAUGAGUUGUCAUGGAUAUUUUAUAUUGUAUAAUUGUAGAGCAUGGACACAUUUCCAGAGUAGAAAGAACCUACAAAAAAAAGAAUUUCAAAACUAAAAGCUUGCAUACACACAUAGCUCAGAGUCCCUACUUCCUUGAUAUGUCUUCACUAGCAGGAGGGCCCACAGAGGAGGCUGCAACCAUACCCAGCAACACAGAUCUAUAUACUUCCUGUCUACUUCCGGCCAUUCUGCUAAUGCUUCCGUCUAACACGGACAGUCCAUGAAAUUGAGUUCACGUGAUCUCGUUCACAAUCCCCUUCCUCUACUAUCUAUGCUAGUAUUCUGUCAAGUUUUCCAGUAUCCAAUGCAACUGUGCUUUAUAUAGAUAGUGAAUAACCAUUAUUCAAGCUCUAUUUACCGUUGCAACUAUCUUCUUCAUUGAAUUUAGAAGUCAGUUCCCGUUUUAUCAUUAUUGGAAUCGAUUGGAAUGGCUCUUAGCUGAAGCUUCUCUCUUCUCUGAAGCUUAUUCUGAAGACUGAACAACAAGGGAAGAGGUAUAAAGCUUUGUCAAGCUUGUUAAGGAUCUAGGAGCAAUGGCUAAUAUCCAGCUAUCCCAACAGUGCUCCUCUUGGCUAUACUAACAGACGAGACUGGACAGUUUGAGGUAAGGGUUUAACCGUCUUUGGUUUCUUUUAAUAUUGUCCUAUACUCACAGGACUGGAGUAUGACCUGCUCAUUCGAGCGUUGCUGGGUAGCUCAGAGACAUCAAGAGAAUCUACGUUUUCUCAAGCAAAAUUUAACUGAGUUACGAGUUGGGGCCUAGAAUCACAGAAGUCCAGCAGCCUGCUAAAUCUUUUUGAAAUGUAAUUUGAAGGCAUUCAAUCAUCCUGAAGUUGCCCUGGGUCACUGUAAUUGUGCUGCAGCACAACUGGCAACUCCCCAGGCCUUUGUGAAGCAGCUCCCUAUGUGCAUCUUUUGUGUACUCACUCUGUGCAUUUUCUGUGUAAAAAUUUCGAUUAUUGAUUUAUUAAAUAUUUUUGCCGACCACAAAUAUACAAUGAAAAUUUGACGCAUGCGCAGACAACUAGUACCAGGCCCAGUUGUUCGCCUAACCGUUAUAAAAGCGAAAACUCGGCCUGGGAUCGAGGCUACCCAAAAGCAUUAGUUUUGGAUCAGGUGGAUGUAUAGCUUUUGUGUGCAUGAAUGUGUAGUCACCUAUUUUUACCUCAUAAUUGUUAUUGGCCCGGUAGUUAGAUUGUGGUGAAGGGCCUGUAGGCCCGAGAUAUUUAACUACUACAAAUGCUGUUUCAUCUAUAUUUAUGCCUCGAGGCGUAGCCGCACGAGGGAUACGGUAAAGCUGACUGUGUGUGUGUCUGUCUGUGUGUGUGUGUGUGUAUUCCAGCUAUAACUGCUCAACGGUUGCAAUGUAACGAAAACUAACAGCUUCUAUAGGCUUCUAGCCACGUUCUCUUGGAUUUUGAUUCGUGGAUUAGCAAACUAAAGCUUCUUUCUCGAGUUAUGGCUAGUUUGACUCACAUUGAAGGCUGUUGCAGUCUCUUCAGAAUCUUUCAUAGCAUCAUCUGUCCGCACAAACUUUCUAUUCCACAUAUGAGUUAGCCUUGCACUAAAGCGCUAGCUUUUUGUUAGCUACAAUACUCAGAAAAUGUAUGUUAAAACAGCUAGCUAGCAGUAGCCAUUUGUGAAAUUGAUGUCUUUGGACACACCCUUUAAUUAUUCCUGUGGAUGUAAUGCGCAUGCGCGCUCAUCCCCCAUGUGUGAGAAAAAAAUAAUAUCCAAGAUCCUCCUGGCAGAAUCAUCUUUGUCUUGAGGGCCUGGUAAGCCACAAAACACUACCAUAUAACAAUAUAGAUAACAAUAUGCAUGUACACAGGUCUUUUCUUCUUAGUCUUAGAUAUUAUAUACACUGAACUACACAUAAUACAACAAUAGAUGCAUGUAAAUAAGUCUUUUCUUCUCAGUGACUUUAUAUAGAUAAGCUAACUUUAAUACUAAUAUAACACUCUAAUACUUUUAAGCGAAAGCAAAAACAUGGCGAGAGGCAUUAGCACAGCGCCAGCUUGAACACUAGUUUAUAUAGCAAUACCUCGCAAGCCAAAACUUACUGAGUACGCUGAAGAAAAGAAGACAGAAGAAUACCCCUCCUCUCUACACCCUACACGUCACCGCCCUCGUAAAUGUUAUCGGCUGUUCCGGCUAUAUAUACACCCUUGUAUACCUCACCAGCUUCUCUCCAUCUAAGACUGUCUGAUUAGAGUGCUAAACUAAUCAUAAUUAUAGCUGUAAUAAUCAUUUUUAUCGUGUAAGUUUUUGUUAAUGUUGUUCGGUUUGAUCCCACUCGUUUUACACUUAGAAAGCAACUGGCAGUGCUGUGGAGUGUUUUGCUGUCUCCAAGUGUAUGUAAUUAUACUUAAUGAAUUGGAAAUUGAAA